AUAAAACCAGCGGGUCCUUUGAAAUAUAAGGAUGUCUGAACCCUUGAAUAUAUAACCUUUGUUGCUUUGGCGGGCUGCGUCUUUUGACGCUUGGCUUCGGCUAGCUAUGCCCGCCAGAGGAUCAUAACUCUUUUGUUUAGUGAUGUCUGAGUACUAUAAAAUAUUUA
rnacentral:misc_RNA from 1 species